rnacentral:rRNA from 1 species
GAUGAUGCCAGCUUGCUGGUGGAUUAGUGGCGAACGGGUGAGUAACACGUGAGCAACCUGCCCCUGACUUCGGGAUAACCGCGGGAAACCGUGGCUAAUACCGGAUAUGACGCGUCACCGCAUGGUGGUGUGUGGAAAGAUUUAUCGGUUGGGGAUGGGCUCGCGGCCUAUCAGCUUGUUGGUGGGGUGAUGGCCUACCAAGGCGACGACGGGUAGCCGGCCUGAGAGGGUGACCGGCCACACUGGGACUGAGACACGGCCCAGACUCCUACGGGAGGCAGCAGUGGGGAAUAUUGCACAAUGGGCGAAAGCCUGAUGCAGCGACGCCGCGUGAGGGAUGACGGCCUUCGGGUUGUAAACCUCUUUCAGUAGGGAAGAAGGCCUUCGGGUUGACGGUACCUGCAGAAGAAGCGCCGGCUAACUACGUGCCAGCAGCCGCGGUAAUACGUAGGGCGCAAGCGUUGUCCGGAAUUAUUGGGCGUAAAGAGCUCGUAGGCGGUUUGUCGCGUCUGCUGUGAAAACGCGAGGCUUAACCUCGCGCCUGCAGUGGGUACGGGCAGACUAGAGUGCGGUAGGGGAGACUGGAAUUCCUGGUGUAGCGGUGGAAUGCGCAGAUAUCAGGAGGAACACCGGUGGCGAAGGCGGGUCUCUGGGCCGUUACUGACGCUGAGGAGCGAAAGCAUGGGGAGCGAACAGGAUUAGAUACCCUGGUAGUCCAUGCCGUAAACGUUGGGCACUAGGUGUGGGACCCAUUCCACGGGUUCCGUGCCGCAGCUAACGCAUUAAGUGCCCCGCCUGGGGAGUACGGCCGCAAGGCUAAAACUCAAAGGAAUUGACGGGGGCCCGCACAAGCGGCGGAGCAUGCGGAUUAAUUCGAUGCAACGCGAAGAACCUUACCAAGGCUUGACAUACACCGGAAACAUCCAGAGAUGGGUGCCCCGCAAGGUCGGUGUACAGGUGGUGCAUGGUUGUCGUCAGCUCGUGUCGUGAGAUGUUGGGUUAAGUCCCGCAACGAGCGCAACCCUUGUCCUGUGUUGCCAGCGGGUUAUGCCGGGGACUCAUGGGAGACUGCCGGGGUCAACUCGGAGGAAGGUGGGGAUGACGUCAAAUCAUCAUGCCCCUUAUGUCUUGGGCUUCACGCAUGCUACAAUGGCCGGUACAAAGGGUUGCGAUGCCGCGAGGUGGAGCGAAUCCCAAAAAGCCGGUCUCAGUUCGGAUUGGGGUCUGCAACUCGACCCCAUGAAGUCGGAGUCGCUAGUAAUCGCAGAUCAGCAACGCUGCGGUGAAUACGUUCUCGGGCCUUGUACACACCGCCCGUCACGUCACGAAAGUCGGUAACACCCGAAGCCGG